rnacentral:rRNA from 1 species
AGAGUUUGAUCCUGGCUCAGGACGAACGCUGGCGGCAUGCCUCAUACAUGCAAGUCGAACGAGCUCCCGUUGAAUGACGUGCUUGCACUGAUUUCAACAAUGAAGCGAGUGGCGAACUGGUGAGUAACACGUGGGGAAUCUGCCCAGAAGCAGGGGAUAACACUUGGAAACAGGUGCUAAUACCGUAUAACAACAAAAUCCGCAUGGAUUUUGUUUGAAAGGUGGCUUCGGCUAUCACUUCUGGAUGAUCCCGCGGCGUAUUAGUUAGUUGGUGAGGUAAAGGCCCACCAAGACGAUGAUACGUAGCCGACCUGAGAGGGUAAUCGGCCACAUUGGGACUGAGACACGGCCCAAACUCCUACGGGAGGCAGCAGUAGGGAAUCUUCCACAAUGGACGAAAGUCUGAUGGAGCAAUGCCGCGUGAGUGAAGAAGGGUUUCGGCUCGUAAAACUCUGUUGUUAAAGAAGAACACCUUUGAGAGUAACUGUUCAAGGGUUGACGGUAUUUAACCAGAAAGCCACGGCUAACUACGUGCCAGCAGCCGCGGUAAUACGUAGGUGGCAAGCGUUGUCCGGAUUUAUUGGGCGUAAAGCGAGCGCAGGCGGUUUUUUAAGUCUGAUGUGAAAGCCUUCGGCUUAACCGGAGAAGUGCAUCGGAAACUGGGAGACUUGAGUGCAGAAGAGGACAGUGGAACUCCAUGUGUAGCGGUGGAAUGCGUAGAUAUAUGGAAGAACACCAGUGGCGAAGGCGGCUGUCUAGUCUGUAACUGACGCUGAGGCUCGAAAGCAUGGGUAGCGAACAGGAUUAGAUACCCUGGUAGUCCAUGCCGUAAACGAUGAGUGCUAAGUGUUGGAGGGUUUCCGCCCUUCAGUGCUGCAGCU